rnacentral:rRNA from 1 species
CAACUUUCAACAACGGAUCUCUUGGCUCUCGCAUCGAUGAAGAACGCAGCGAAAUGCGAUAAGUAAUGUGAAUUGCAGAAUUCAGUGAAUCAUCGAAUCUUUGAACGCACCUUGCGCUCCUUGGUAUUCCGAGGAGCAUGCCUGUUUGAGUGUCAUUU